rnacentral:rRNA from 1 species
GUAGGUGGCAAGCGUUGUCCGGAAUUAUUGGGCGUAAAGCGCGCGCAGGCGGUCCUUUAAGUCUGAUGUGAAAGCCCACGGCUCAACCGUGGAGGGUCAUUGGAAACUGGGGGACUUGAGUACAGAAGAGGAAAGCGGAAUUCCAAGUGUAGCGGUGAAAUGCGUAGAGAUUUGGAGGAACACCAGUGGCGAAGGCGGCUUUCUGGUCUGUAACUGACGCUGAGGCGCGAAAGCGUGGGGAGCAAACAGGAUUAGAUACCCUGGUAGUCCACGCCGUAAACGAUGAGUGCUAAGUGUUAGGGGGUUUCCCGCCCCCCUUAGUGCUGCAGCUGACGCAUUAAGCACUCCGCCUGGGGAUACGGCCGCAAGGCUG